rnacentral:lncRNA from 1 species
AUAACAAGAAUUUUUGUUGAUAGAUGAGUAUUUUUUUAGAAUUUUUUAUCAAUAGGUUGUAUUUUUUAAAUAAAAUACUCAAAAAAUCUAUUUUAGGAAAGUUUUCAUUUUCAUCGGGAAAUAUUGUAAAUUUGGGGUUGUGAUUUAGAAAUUGAGAUAACAAGAAUUUUUUUUGACUGAUGAGUAUUUUUUUAGAUUUUUUGAUCAAUAUUUUGUAUUUUUAAGAUUUAAUUCUCAAAUAUUCUAUUUUAGGAAAGUUUUCAUUUUAUUGAGAAAUAUUGUACAUUUGGGGUUGUUAUUUAGAAAUAGGAUAACAAGAAUUUUUGUUGGUAGAUGAGUAUUCUUUUAGAUUUUUUUGAUCAAUAUGUUGUAUUUUUAAAAUAAAAUACUCAAAAAAUCUAUUUUAGGAAAGUUUUCAUUUUUAUUGAGAAAUAAUAUACAUUUGGGGUUGUGAUUUAGAAAUUAGGAUAACAAGAAUUUUUGUUGAUAGAUGAGUAUUUUUUUAGAAUUUUUUAUCAAUAGGUUGUAUUUUUUAAAUAAAAUACUAAAAAA